UACGUAGGCAGCGAGCGUUGUUCGGAGUUACUGGGCGUAAAGAGUGCGUAGGCGGUUUUCUAAGUUUGGUGUGAAAUCUCCCGGCUCAACUGGGAGGGUGCGCCGAAGACUGGAAGGCUUGAGUAUGGGAGAGGUAAGCGGAAUUCCUGGUGUAGCGGUGAAAUGCGUAGAUAUCAGGAGGAACAUCUGCGGUGUAGACGGCUUACUGGACCAUAACUGACGCUGAGGCACGAAAGCGUGGGUAGCAAACAGG
rnacentral:rRNA from 1 species